rnacentral:rRNA from 1 species
GACGAACGCUGGCGGCGUGCCUAAUACAUGCAAGUAGGACGCAGUUGCGAACGGGUGAGUAACGCGUAGGUAACUGCCUCUGAGAGGGGGAUAACUAUUGGAAACGAUAGCUAAUACCGCAUACUAGUAGAUGGACCUGCGUUGUAUUAGCUAGUAGGUCGUGUAAUGGCCUACCUAGGCGACGAUACAUAGCCGAUCUGCUAGGGUGAUCGGGCACACGGGGACUGAGACACGGCCCAGACUCCUACGGGAGGCAGCAGUAGGGAAUCUUCGGCAAUGGGGGGAACCCUUACCGAGCAACGCCGCGUGAGUGAAGAAGGUUUUCGGAUCGUAAAGCUCUGUUGUGAAGGAAGCGGUACUUAACCAGAAAGGGACGGCUAACUACGUGCCAGCAGCCGCGGUAAUAC